UGUUCUGUGGCUUAGUUGGUUAAAGCGCCGAACUAGCGAGACUACGGAAUCGUGGGUUCAAAUCCCACCAAAACAA
rnacentral:tRNA from 1 species